ensembl:lncRNA
UGGGUACGAUGUGGGACAAACAAUAAUCAACCGUAGGAGUACAGGAAUAGCCACUUAGCUAAUGCUGAUCCAGUAGGGAAAUGAGUCACGUAGCAAGACCUUCCUGGAAAGGCAGAGGAGUGUGGGUCCAGGUGUACUGGUUCCCACCUAUGUGUCUGGUGUCUGCUGGGCACACUGGACCACUUGGUGCUAGUUACAGUCUAACCUCGAGUUGCUGUAUCUCUGGGUAGAAAUGCAGGGCUGCCUAUUGCAUCUCCAUCCUGAGAGGCCUGGCCUUCUUCAGAUUUGCCUCCAGCCACAAUUCUCAUGUCUUUAUUUUUGUGCUGACUUCCUUGAGGGCCAAGUCCCUCUCAAACUGUAUAUUAAUUUCUCUCUAAUUUGCUGUCUAUACUAAUAGGUACAUUUAUAUACUGUAUAAGUAUUUUAUAGAAUAUGAGUAAUAUGAAUAAACAACAGAUUAUAAAAUCACAUUCUGUUCACACUUCUGCAUGGGUUUAUGUGUCUACACACAUCAUUUGAAGCAGCUUUCCUGAGAGGCAAGGGUAGAAGCAAAGGCUCGGGCUUCUGCGGCAGGAAGGGGCCUAGUGUGGACAGCUGGACACAAGGAUGCCCAGGACAUGGACCAAGGACCAGGCCGGAUGAGGACUCCUCCGUGGCCAUAGCCAUGGCAGGGAAGGGAACCAUGUGGGGGUGAGGGACUCAGAGUACCUGUUUCCUAUUAUUUUGCUGGGUUCAUUGCAGCAAUCGUGAUACUAGGGUGAUCCAGCCUUCCCCACAUAUGUGUGGGCCUGCUCCAGGGUGCUCCUGAGGAGUCCUCCUGACUCCUGUGCCCAGGCGCAGUCAAGGCCCCAUGCACAGCAGGUGUCCCAGCUCAGGAGCUGGGCUGCUAGGUUUCUGCUCAGCUCCCUGGAGGACAGACCCCGCCUCUGCUCCGCCGGGAGUGGCCUGGCUGUGAUCACAUGACUCAAGCAGAACCAAUCAGAUCACAGCCCAAGAUUUUUCUAUAGAAGCUGGUUAAGGAGCCCUUUCUCCUUUGCCACAGCUCCAAGGUAGAGCCAAGAGAGCAUUAGAGCUAUACCAUCUGGCUCUUGGAGAUUCAGGAAGAAGGAUAAAGGGCCUUGUGCGGGCUAAGCAGGCGCUGUACCAUUGAACUCCACCCACCUGUAAAUGUUGUAAUGAACCUCCAGCCCUGGGCAGUAGAUGUGGACUUCCCUAACCCACCCCCUUCUCCAACUGUUGAUGACAAUCGCUUCCAUUUUAGUCACUCCACUUGAACGGCAGGAUCUCAUUGGAGCUUUUAAUUUUCAUUAACAGCUGCCUGGAACAUACAUGUGAUGGCUGGAGUGCUGGCAUCCAUCUUAACAAUGAAGUGGACAUAGGACUAAAAGGCCCAAGACUGAAGGAGCUUGAGACAUCGUGAAGAUACAGCCACAAAACUGUCUACUUUCAUACUUCUUGUACAUGAGACAGAAAUAAACUUCUAUCUUGUAUUAGCCUAUAUUAUUCAGGACUAUUCCUCACAGCUGAGCCAGUAAUAACUAAUACAUAAAGAUCAAUUAGCAAACUCACUACCCUUCCAUUUUCACUAGUCAUCUAAUGAGCUUAUAAAAAAAAAUGAGGACACCUAUGAUUUAAGUUGGGCCCAAGUGGGUGACCCCAGCAUCUUAUUUUUCAAGUCUCUUCCAGAUAUUCUGCAUGGGCUGUUAAGCUUGAGAACUGGUGCUUCCAAUCUGGUGCUUAAACUGAGCCCGUAAUGUCAACACUCUAGGAGGCUGAGGCAGGAGGAUCACAUGUUCAAGCCCAGUCUAGGCAUCUCAGCAACUUAGUGAGAUCCUUUGUCAAAAUAAAAAACAAAAAUAAAAGGGCUGGGAUGUAGCUCAGUGAUAAGGCUCUGAGUUCAAUCCCUAGUACUGGGGAAAAUCAAGGAGCAAGCCCCAAAUGAGACCCCCAUCAGGGCUG